ACCUCAGCCUCCCAAAGUGCUGGGAUCACAAGCAUGAGCCACCAUGCCGGGCUGCAUUUUCAUAUUCUUAAAUGCAGGAUGUGUCUUACAAGCAAUGGCAUCUCAGUUUGAGUGAAUUACAAAAUGUGAGAUUUUGAAAAGAAAUUAAGUCAUUUUAAUUUGGGUGUUCUGUUUCAGUCAAAUCAUCCUAAAUGAUAUCUUUUAAAAAUAAUUCUUCCCGGAAGAAUGGAUCAUGGCAGAAGACAGAAGAUGAGCUCGUGUGCAAGCUUCCUUUCUGAAAUAAUAGCAGCUGUGUGUACGAAGCGUUUACUCCGCGCCAGGUACCCUCCAAACACAUUUUAUUCACUGUCUCAUCUGAUUCUCAUGACAGCCCUGCCAUUAUCCCCCCCACCCACCCAUUUUGCAGCUGAGGAAGCCAAGGUACAGAAACGUUAAAGGAAUUCACAGGUGAAGGCAUUGAGACCUGAACUCAAUCCAGCCUAAAAACCCAUGGUCUCAGCCACCAUGCCCUGUUUCCUACAAAAAUUACACUAUGACAGUGGAACGUUUUUGCUUAACUCCAGAGAUUUUAAUUCAUCCCCCUAGAAAGCCCGUCAUGAAAACGUAGAGGAUUUUUUUCCUGAGAGUUCUUGGGACCGUGAAACAGGGUCACAGAUCCUACUCAGAUAUCUGGGAUCAUGCAGAUGACCAGGCAGAUGGAAGAAAAGUAAAAAUAUAAAAAUAAAACAUAAAACUGGGAUCACUGCAUUAAGUUUAACUUAGCUUUAACUUUCUGGAGGAGGAGAAACAUAACAUAGACCCUAUGCAUUGAGAAUAGAUGACCUUGGAGUUGUGGAUUAUCUGUGCCCGCCAGCAGAGUCCGGGAAGAAAAGCAACGCAUUUGACAUCCCUGCUUGGAAGAGUCACUGCCUCUAGAUUAUCACUCAAAAAUUGAUUUUUAAAAAAUAAAAAUAAAUGCAUUUGGAGACGAUAUAAUGUUCCAUGGAUCUCUUCUGUCAUUUCCUGGACACGUCUCUCCAUGCCCAGAAACCUCUGCCUUCUCACAGCUGUUGCAUAACCUUUAGCUUGUGAUGGUGUUUAUUCCUUUUGCCUUGAAAGUCCCUUCCUUGCAUCUUCUUCCCUGCUCAGCAGAUUCCAGCUGGUACUUAAGUACCUCCUCUGCGAAGUCUUGACUGAGAUGCUGCAACAAUUUCCGAGCUGUUUCCUCGUGGUACCUUUCUGCUGACAGGUGGAUUAGCACAUUUUCUGCAAUCCAGGAUGACCUGAAGGAAAAUCCCAGCUCUACUGAUUCUAGCUGAGUAACCUUGGCAAAGGUCACCUCACUUCUGAGUCUCAUUUUCUCAUCGGAGGAGGAGGAAGAGGAGCCAAACCUCACUGGAGGUCGUUAAGUCAGUGCUUCAGAGCACUUAGCACAGUGCCUGGUGCAAGAACUGCUGGCUGCCCAGCUCUGUGUUUGUGGAGAAGCGGCAGGAGGACCACAGAGUGAGGAGGCCCACGGCUUCCCGGCGGUCCUUCUGAUCAUCAGAAUCUCAGGACUCAGAAUCCCAGGACUCAGACGACAGGAGACAGGAAGACUGAGGUUCUCUCGGUUGCCAGUGUCCACAUAUCAAAGGGACUCAUUGCUGGCAAGUCCCCACUCAGAGACAUGGAUGGUCACAGGACCCGCCACCUGCGUCCACCCCUUGUGGAGACACCCUCCUGCCAGCAGGCCCUGACCCGGGGAUAUAAUAGGAUCUUUUUUACUCUUUGUUUCACUGGGAGCAAAAAAGUCCCUCUUCAGACGGGUCUCCCAUGCUAGGUGAGUCCAUAGGCACAAAAGGAACCCCUCGUGCACGGGAACUUAAUAAAGAUUUGCUGAUGUUUCCCUGUAUUUCGUUGGGAUAGGCGCCCCUGUCAUCGAACGACAGUGGUCACCCAGGGAAGGAAAAGUCUGGAAGUUCCCCCAACUUCACCCCCUAAAGACCACAUGGCUUCAGCCUAGGGAAGAGUUAACUUUCUGGCCACUGGAGACAGCGUCCUGCCCGCAGGGGCGGCCCAGCCAAUGGCACUCAAUGCUGAUGAUGUCAUGCUCCUCCCGCGCCUUCUAUUGGGGACUGGACAGCGAAUCCUGCAGGAGGCUCGGGCAGCUGA